rnacentral:rRNA from 1 species
AACGCUAGCUACAGGCUUAACACAUGCAAGUCGAGGGGCAGCAUGGUCUUAGCUUGCUAAGGCCGAUGGCGACCGGCGCACGGGUGAGUAACACGUAUCCAACCUGCCGUCUACUCUUGGACAGCCGUCUGAAAGGAAGAUUAAUACAAGAUGGCAUCAUGAGUUCACAUGUUCACAUGAUUAAAGGUAUUCCGGUAGACGAUGGGGAUGCGUUCCAUUAGAUAGUAGGCGGGGUAACAGCCCACCUAGUCUUCGAUGGAUAGGGGUUCUGAGAGGAAGGUCCCCCACAUUGGAACUGAGACACGGUCCAAACUCCUACGGGAGGCAGCAGUGAGGAAUAUUGGUCAAUGGGCGCAGGCCUGAACCAGCCAAGUAGCGUGAAGGAUGACUGCCCUAUGGGUUGUAAACUUCUUUUAUAAAGGAAUAAAGUCGGGUAUGUAUACCCGUUUGCAUGUACUUUAUGAAUAAGGAUCGGCUAACUCCGUGCCAGCAGCCGCGGUAAUACGGAGGAUCCGAGCGUUAUCCGGAUUUAUUGGGUUUAAAGGGAGCGUAGAUGGAUGUUUAAGUCAGUUGUGAAAGUUUGCGGCUCAACCGUAAAAUUGCAGUUGAUACUGGAUAUCUUGAGUGCAGUUGAGGCAGGCGGAAUUCGUGGUGUAGCGGUGAAAUGCUUAGAUAUCACGAAGAACUCCGAUUG